AUGUCGCAACACAAGUUCCUUUUCACCUCCGAAUCUGUCUCUGAAGGGCAUCCUGACAAGAUGUGUGACCAGAUCUCGGACGCUGUUCUUGAUGCUCAUUUGGCUCAAGAUCCUCACGCAAAGGUUGCAUGUGGUAAGUGGUUCAGGACUUCUUGAUAUCCUUCAGCGAAAGUUCAACAACAAUAUGGAACUGCGAUGAGCAAAAGUCCUAAUUAUUAUCCCCUAACAACGUUCAGAGAUUCGGCGGAAGACAUGGAAGUCAGGCGGUCACAUUCAGUACACACACAUCGUGUUAACAUGAUAUUGAUAUUUGUGUUGUGAAUUUGAUUUGCAGAAGGAUCAACAGUGAACUCGUACCGUUCACUGUAGUUCUUUUGCAUUUAUCGCCUAUUCAUGUCUCUGAUUUCAGGCUCUACGGGUGUUGGAUGAUGCGGGAAACGGGGCUGAAGCUUAUCGCAACAAUAUGUUUCUUUACCUGUUACAACGGUUACUUUGAUUACAGAAACGGUGACUAAAACGGGUAUGAUCAUGUUGUGCGGUGAGAUCACCUCGAAAGCUGUCGUCGACUACCAGGUUCUCGUCCGAAACGUCAUUAAGAAAAUUGGAUACGAUGAUUCCUCGAAAGGAUUCGAUUACAAGACAUGCAAUGUUCUUGUUGCACUCGAACAACAAUCACCUGAAAUCGCUGCUGGAGUCCACGUGGACAAGGAUAGUGACGAUGUCGGAGCCGGAGAUCAAGGAAUUAUGUUUGGAUAUGCUACUGAUGAAACCGAAGAAGCGAUGCCAUUGACUCUUCUCUUGUCUCACAAGCUGAACCGGAAGCUUCACGAGCUCCGUAGAUCUGGAGAGCUCGAAUGGGUUCGUCCGGACUCGAAGACCCAAGUCACAAUCGAAUAUGCUUCGGAAGGAGGAGCAUGUGUCCCACUACGCGUCCACACUGUUGUUAUCUCCACCCAACAUUCUCCAGAUAUCAGUCUCGAUGAUUUGAGAAAGGAACUCAUCGAAAAGGUUAUCAAAGCUGUAAUUCCUGCCAAUCUCAUCGACGACAAGACCAUCUAUCAUCUCAAUCCAUGUGGAUCAUUCAUUAUUGGAGGACCAAUGGGAGAUGCUGGACUUACUGGACGUAAGAUCAUCGUUGAUACCUACGGAGGAUGGGGAGCUCACGGAGGAGGUGCUUUCUCUGGAAAAGACCCAACCAAAGUCGAUCGUUCUGCCGCAUAUGCUGCUCGUUGGGUUGCCAAGUCACUUGUCAAAUCAGGACUCUGUCGCCGUUGUCUUGUUCAAGUAUCUUAUGCAAUCGGAGUAGCCAAACCACUUUCAGUGAUGGUGUUCUCUUUCGGGACAUCUGCGUUGAACGAAGGAGAACUAUUGAAAAUUGUCAAUGACAACUUUGAUUUGCGACCUGGAAUGAUUAUUAAGGAUCUCGAUUUGAAGAAACCAAUUUAUGAACCAACCGCUGAGAACGGACACUUUGGACACAAUGAAUUCCCAUGGGAGCAGCCACGUCAUCUUCAGAUUGAUGUUGAACUUCUUAAAAAGAUUGGAGGAAAAACGAUCUCAAACGGAAAUGGAAUUGCCCAUUGA
rnacentral:misc_RNA from 1 species